rnacentral:rRNA from 1 species
CCUACGGGUGGCAGCAGUGGGGAAUAUUGGGCAAUGGGCGCAAGCCUGACCCAGCAACGCCGCGUGAAGGAAGAAGGCUUUCGGGUUGUAAACUUCUUUUCUCAGGGACGAUGAAAGUGACGGUAACUGAGGAAUCAGCCACGGAUAACUACGUGCCAGCCGCCGCGGUAAUAAGGAGGGGGCAAGCGUUAUCCGGAUUUAUUGGGUGUAAAGGGCGCGUCGGGGGGAGCGCAAGUCAGAUGUGAAAACUCAGGGCUCAACCAUGAGACUGCAUUUGAAACUGUGUUUCUUGAGUGCUGGAGAGGCAAUCGGAAUUCCGUGUGUAGGGGUGAAAUGCGUAGAUAUACGGAGGAACACCAGUGGCGAAGGCGGAUUGCUAGACAGUAACCGACGCUGAGGCGCGAAAGCGUGGGGAGCAAACAGGAUUAGAUACCCCUGUAGUC